rnacentral:rRNA from 1 species
UACGUAGGGUGCAAGCGUUUGUCCGGAUUUAUUGGGCGUAAAGAGCUCGUAGGCGGCUCAUUGCGUCAACCGUGAAAACCUGCCGCUCAACGGUAGGCUUGCGGUUGAUACGGGUGGGCUGGAGUUCGGUAGGGGAGACUGGAAUUCCUGGUGUAGGCGGUGGAAUGCGUAGAGAUCCGGAAGAACACCGGUGGCGAAGGCGGUCUGCUGGGCAGUUGCUGACACUGAGGCGCGACAGCGUGGGGAGCAAACAGGG